CAAAUGUGAAAAAGGAGUUGCUUCAAGUUUGAUGAGUAGGCUCUGGAGCUCUCUUGCCCUGUGACAAGAGUCCCAUUCCACAAUGUUGGACAUCAAGCUGGGCCUUGUGUCUACACCUGCAUUUUCCUAAAUCUUCUCAGAGCCCAGCCCUUUGGAAUAGUCAUACCAAUAGGAGUCAUAC
rnacentral:snoRNA from 1 species